rnacentral:lncRNA from 1 species
AAUCUCACAUUCCCAGAAUCAGGUUUCACCAAAAUCAAUUUCCAUCCCCAAUCGUUUGAUAAUCCCUUUCCUUCCCCUAGCCCUUCAUUGUUCCCCCAUCUCUCAUGUCCAUCUCUCUAGUACUACUACCAUUUCUCCACCGGUGAAUCAUUUUCUCUCUUCGGAUAAAUCACUUCACGGAUCGCUUUCCUCUUCUUCAUCGUCAAGAUCUUCAUUGUUUGUCUAGGGUUCACGGAUCUUCUCCAUCGCGUUCAACUUCAAAGCUUGCAAAAUUUUAAACCAAAUCAUCCAGUAAGCACUUCAACACAGAUUCCCCUUUCUUUUAUGAUGAAGUCUGAAAAUCAGAAUUUAAGUUACCGUCUUCAACCAUUCAUCUGUGGUUAGAACUACGUUUGGACAAUCGAUCUCAAAAUUUUUGUUGAUGUUGCAGUUAAGGGUAGAUAUUUUAAUCAGUUUAUUAGUGGCGAUUGGUUGUCUUUUUCUAUACCAACUGAUUCAAACAUCCAAAGUAUAAAAUACAUUGUACUUCCGGUUGAAGUCCCUGGUAUUGGUACUUUGGUCUCUAAUAACUAUUUACCUUAGCAUUUUCAAGAAGACAUAAUGAUGGGCAAGAAAUAUGUUUGGAUAAUUGAUCUUCAAAUUUUUUGUUGACAUUGCAGUUAAGGGUAGAUAUCAAUCUAUGAAGAGAAGCUUUUGAGUUAAGUUUUAUGAUAGUCAAUUCCUCACCCAAAAGAAGGUUUAGGCCUCUCGUGUAAACAUUUUAGAAUUUGGAAUAUGUUACUUGUUACACAAUGUUUUGCUAACAUUUGGAAUAUGUUACGGAUCGAACUUAUUAUUGAAGUUAUAAUAUUAUGAUU